rnacentral:siRNA from 1 species
UGGUGAAAGUGGGUGUCUCCAA